AUGGCCUCUCCAAACGGAGAGGAAGAGCAAGGACCCAGGCUCGCAAUACGUGAGCUGGACAAUGAACCACCGAGGGAAGCUCAAGUACGGCCUUGUGAAUGGCCGUCAAAGGAAUUUAUGGUCAAAGCAGGCAUUAAGGAUGAAUUUGACGCGUAUGUGCGUAAUGCCGAUCUUGAGGACUUCAUGGCAGAUAAGUGCUCCCAACACUACUACCGUACUGAUUCCUUUGUGAGAAGUUUUAAAUUCACAUCUUCGCGCAAUUCUCACACGGUCUUAUUCGAUCUUUAUGAUAAAUCAUAUACCAUGGACCUAGAAUAUGUUACUACUGCUUGUAAACUCCCGCAGUGGGGCAAUGUUAACGAACCCCGUAAAUCUGAAUAUAAAGAUUUCCUUGCUAGUAUCACUGUGGGGGAAUCUAGAGAAAUAGCACAAGCUACCAUAGGGAGCAUUCACUUUCCUGCUAUACAUUAUUUUGCUCUCUUCAUAGGUAGAUGCAUUAAUGGUAAAGAUGAAGCUUGUCACAUGUGUGUUCCAGAUCUUAGUGUUCUCAAGAGUGCUGUAUUAGGUGAUAAACAAUAUAACUUGGGGGCAAUUGUUGCACGUAGGUUGCAUAAUAGUGGUUUAGAUGGAGACUUGUUUGGAGGGAUUUAUGCAACUCGUGUGGCUAAUUUUCUUGGUAUACCCGUACAUGGAGGUGACAGGGAGUUGCCUCCUGCUUAUCUAGAUUAUAAUGCCAUGGUUAACCAUCAGUUUCUUGAGAGGAAUGAACAAUUCCUCCAAUACCGACUAGUCUUUGACAGACUUCACACUGUCCGUGUUGCUCUCCCUGCUCCUAGUUUAUCUGACUUUCAAGCAAAGAGGAGAUAUAUUAUAACCAGGGAGGAGGCGAACAAGUACGAGAGGAGGAUGGAGGCAGCUCGCCUCCAAGCUGCAGCUCGUGAGGCAGUAGCUGCUGCAUCUUAG
rnacentral:rRNA from 1 species